CGCUGGCUGGUGCUGCUACCGCACGUUCCGCCCCCGACUGGGGCCUCAGUGGCCGAAAGGUGGCGGAGGUGGAGGAGGAUUGGAAGAAGGCCUGGGCCCACGUCGGGAAUUUGAUCCUACACGCCGCUCCUGGCCUCUCGCAAGCGAAGAAGCCACGGGCCAUGUUGCAAAGCAGCCCUGGGGAGAGGCCCACAGGAGUGAGCUUGGGCUCUUGCAUCUCGGCCACCCAUAUGCCAUCCAGACUGAGAAAGACCCAGAAACUCUGGGACCACGUGAGCCACAACCGUGGCUGCAUCGCAAGCACAGGAAGCACCGGGGAGGCUGAGCAUUCCUGUUGUCACUCUGCUUUCAGUGAGAGAGCCACUUUUGUCUUGGGUAAGUUUUAUUU